rnacentral:rRNA from 1 species
GACGAACGCUGGCGGCGUGCCUAAUACAUGCAAGUUGAGCGAUGAAGAUUGGUGCUUGCACCAAUUUGAAGAGCAGCGAACGGGUGAGUAACGCGUGGGGAAUCUGCCUUUGAGCGGGGGACAACAUUUGGAAACGAAUGCUAAUACCGCAUAACAACUUUAAACAUAAGUUUUAAGUUUGAAAGAUGCAAUUGCAUCACUCAAAGAUGAUCCCGCGUUGUAUUAGCUAGUUGGUGAGGUAAAGGCUCACCAAGGCGAUGAUACAUAGCCGACCUGAGAGGGGGUAGGGCCACAUGGGACUGGAGAACGGGCCAAACUCCUACGGGAGGCAGCAGUAGGGAAUCUUCGGCAAUGGACGAAAGUCUGACCGAGCAACGCCGCGUGAGUGAAGAAGGUUUUCGGAUCGUAAAACUCUGUUGGUAGAGAAGAACGUUGGUGAGAGUGGAAAGCUCAUCAAGCGACGGUAACUACCCAGAAAGGGACGGCUAACUACGUG